rnacentral:tRNA from 1 species
CAGGGAGACAACAAAAUGUUUAAUAUUAUUAUUUUGUCACCUUAGGUCGAUCGGUAUCUCACGUUCUUAAUUUUUUAAGAAUUUCAUUUCCUAAGUUUUUCUAGGUCACACCCAUUAUUUUUCCUGGGCCAUUAGCUCAGGUGGUUAGAGCGCACCCCUGAUAAGGGUGAGGUCCCUGGUUCAAGUCCAGGAUGGCCCAUAUCUCUAUGUUGGGGGUAUAGCUCAGUUGGUAGAGCGCCUGCUUUGCAAGCAGGAUGUCAGCGGUUCGAGUCCGCUUACCUCCACUGAUUACCACCUCUUCCAUAACCGGUAGAAAGGAAAUGCUUUGAGCUGUGAUCAUUAUUCUGAACGAAUCUAGCUUCCUAAUGAAAUCAUUAAGAUGCUGGACUCAUUGAAUUAAUUUCAUUGUUUUCAGAGAACCUUGACAACUGCAUAGAUUUUUUAAAGACAAUAAGCAUCUUUAAUGAUGCAGAUUUAUUAUUUGUGCGAAUGCAUUAAUAACAAUUCUAUUAAGCUGAUGCUUCAAUUUUUGAAGUUAUU